UACGUAGGGUGCGAGCGUUAUUCGGAAUUACUGGGCGUAAAGCGUGCGUAGGCGGCUUGCCAAGUCAGAUGUGAAAGCCUCGGGCUCAACCCGGGAACGGCGUUUGAGACUGGCAGGCUAGAGUUUGGCAGAGGGGGGUGGAAUUCCACGUGUAGCAGUGAAAUGCGUAGAGAUGUGGAGGAACACCGAUGGCGAAGGCAGCCCCCUGGGCCAAAACUGACGCUCAGGCACGAAAGCGUGGGGAGCAAAAGGG
rnacentral:rRNA from 1 species